AUUGAACGCUGGCGGCAUGCCUUACACAUGCAAGUCGAACGGCAGCACGGGGGCAACCCUGGUGGCGAGUGGCGAACGGGUGAGUAAUGCAUCGGAACGUGUCCUCUUGUGGGGGAUAACCAGUCGAAAGAUUGGCUAAUACCGCAUGAGAUCGAGAGAUGAAAGCGGGGGACCCGAGGGUAACUUCGGGCCUCGCGCGAGAGGAGCGGCCGAUGCCGGAUUAGCUAGUUGGUGGGGUAAGAGCCUACCAAGGCGACGAUCCGUAGCUGGUCUGAGAGGACGACCAGCCACACUGGGACUGAGACACGGCCCAGACUCCUACGGAGGCAGCAGUGGGGAAUUUUGGACAAUGGGCGCAAGCCUGAUCCAGCCAUGCCGCGUGUGUGAAGAA
rnacentral:rRNA from 1 species